UACGUAGGGUGCGAGCGUUGUCCGGAAUUAUUGGGCGUAAAGAGCUCGUAGGCGGUUUGUCGCGUCGACUGUGAAAACCCGAGGCUUAACCUCGGGCCUGCAGUCGAUACGGGCAGACUAGAGUUCGGUAGGGGAGACUGGAAUUCCUGGUGUAGCGGUGAAAUGCGCAGAUAUCAGGAAGAACACCCGUGGCGAAAGCGGCUCUCUGGAACGGUACUGACGCUGAGACGCGGAAGCGUGGGGAGCGAACAGG
rnacentral:rRNA from 1 species